rnacentral:lncRNA from 13 species
AACCUAGAGGCGCUCCCGCGCGAGCCCCGCCGCUUCCAGUCCGCCCUCGCCCGGCCCGGCGCAGGUCGCUCCCUCCUCCCAGCCGCGUCCGCACUUUUCCCCCGGCAGGGGGCCCAGGUCGAGCUGGGCCAAUCCCGCGCGCGCCGCGCAGGACCCCUCCCGGAGGCCCGGGGCGCGGUGGCUUCCCUUCGUCCAAACGGGGGGUGUCUCCUCCAUCACCCCAGCCGCAGCUUCCCAGCCGGAGUCGGGCUGCCGGACGAGGGAGGCGCGCUCCUCUGCGGCCGGGGUCUGGGGGGUGCCAGCGCGCCCCCGAGUGAGCGGUUGGGGACGGCGCGGAGCCGCCGACCCGCCGCGCGCCCUCCGGUCCCGGAGCGGCCCCAGCCUGCGCCCCCGCGGGCCCCGCACCUCGCCUGGGCCCUGCCCUGUCCUGCCGCGUGGCGGCCUCUCCGCACCCCGAGUCCCGGGGCCGACAAGCAGACUCUCACGGUUUUGAAGAAGAAAACUCUAGGGCAGGAAAGUGGAGGGAGCCUGCAGCAGAGACGGGAAUGGAAUGAUCACUUCAGCUGCUGUGAAGUCAAGUGGGCCAAGAGAUGAGCAGCCAAGCACAGGUAAGCUCCUGAGUUAUUUUCCGAUCUAUUUGUAUCCUCAUAUGUUCACCUGUUCUUCCUUGGACCCUGACCUUCAUUAAAGAGAAGGCAGAUUUGUCUAAACACAAGGAGUAGAAAACUCUGAAGUCCACUGGACUAUUCAGGAAUUGAACCAUAAUUGUGACCUUACUGUCUAAAGGGUGGACUUAACUGGUAUGUAGCUAUAGCGUUUUUUAAAUUGCAUUUUAGGUUUGGGGGAACAUGUGAAGAACAUACAAGACUGUUGCAUAGGUACACACAUGGCAGUGUGAUUUGCUGCCUUCUUCUUCAUCAUGCUAUAGGCUGUUUUUAACAAAUUUACUGAGGUAUAAUUGACUACAAUAAACUGUGCAUAUUUGAAGGGUAUAAUUUGAUA